rnacentral:lncRNA from 1 species
GUGGAGAGGAGGGCGUGUGUGCGCGCCUGUAGAGCGGGGCUCGGGCUGCGUGGGAGCUGGGCGGGGAUGCGCACACACGGACCGACUCCCACAGACUGUCCCCCUUCAGGUGUCCUGGUGCAGGCUUUCAGGGAAGGGAGAGCCCCUAACCUCGCCCCACCUCCCAAAACUUCUCCCCCUGCCGUCGGGCUAUGGUCCCUGGUUCCCUUCACGCCCCCACCCCCAGCCUCAGCUCUGUCUGGGUGGAACGAAUGUCUGCUAAUGAACUAAACAAACAGGUCUCUUAAUCUUAUCAUGGAGCUGACCCAGAGACUGGCACAGAUAUCCAAAGUAUCAUAAUUGGCAGGUCAGAAUUAAAACUACAUACAUCAUGGUGACUUUAUAGCUGAGGCAAAGUGGAGCUCAAGUGUUACUUUCCCAGUAAGCAAAUCAUAAUGAAGUAUCAUGCUGGUGACUAAUUUAACUAACAUUGUCCAGGAAAUUGCUGUUGUCCAGGAAGAGAAGAGUUGAGCCGAGUGUCAACUACUAGGCUUCUGGCACCAUCCUGCACAAGAAAUUGGAGCAUAAGGGACAUUUCCACAUUCUAACUUUACAUGAAGACUCAGGACUUUGAAAGCCCAUGAGAAAGUUUUCAUAAGGAUUUAUCCACAAUUUCUUCUUUGAUUUGCUCAGAUGUGAAGCAGGAAACCUUCCAGACAUCCUGAACCUCUGAACUUUUUGUGGAUUGCCCAUCAACACAGGCAAACAUUCAUGAAGCAAUUCAAAAAUCUCUUCUCACUGCAUUAUAAGCAUGUCCUUACGUUAUUCAUAUAUCAAGAGCAUGCCCAUUCCCAACCCACAAUGGAAUGUGAGCCUAAUUACAUGUUCCUUUGGAAUAAGAUCUCACCAGCCCAGGAGUGUCAGAAACCCUCUAUCAUAUAUACGUAUCUUGUUUCCAAAAUGAUCUUCCCAAGCCACCCUAACAGGCCCCCUUCAGAAUGCUUCCUGCUGACAAGUGAAUCUGCUUUUUGCCUUUCACCCAAUCUCAGCUCAUGCUUUCUCUGUGAAAAUAUCACAGACCACAUCUGACAGUGGUCCAGCUAAUUAAUGUACUCCAAUGUCUAGCAAGCAUUUGACAGGAAAAAUAAUCUAUACAGUAUUUAUUGCAAAAUCUUCACCAAUGUGACAAAGAUGAAUGUAAACUUUACAUAAUCAUUUUUCAUUUGUUAUCCAAAGUUGAAAGUGAUUUUCAAAUGCUAACUUUAAAAUUAUGAUGAGGAAGAUAACAGCUCUGCUUUAAAACUGCUUGGCAAUGGAAUUUCUAUAGUAUAAUGGUUUAGCAAUGAGCUAGAAAAAUAAACUCUCUUGCUAAUGUAGUAAAUGGGCCAGAAAUAAACUUCUCAGGGAUUUGGGUGGUGGGGUGGGGUGAGGGAGGGGCACACAGAGGGGAUAGUGGAAUUGGAUUUCUGGAAUAAAUGAUCUGAAACCCUUAGCACACUAUAUCUUCAAAAAGCAAUGUCUUCCUUUAUAUAAUGCACGUAUCACCAUCACGAUACGAGAGCAACUCGAAGAAUCUUAACGUAUACCACGGUAAACACCUACGGCACCCAACUCAGUCUACAGCAGGACACCCAAAAGUUAAAUUCACUUUGGCUGUGGCUGUGCUCCAGGUACAUAUUUUCUCAUGAGCUUUGUUUCUUUGUUCUAGAACCAUCCUUCCCAAUAUUCCUUAACAUUGAAAUUAUACAUGUUAAAUUAAUUAUUGUUCAUUUAACUGAUGAGCUGAAACUCACGUCCUUCCUUUUGAAAGCUAAAGUAAUCUUCUAAUAAAAGGUCAGGAAUUAUCAAAUUUACUUGUAAUUAUUACUAAUUCUUCUGUGACUUCUUUUUUUUUUUUUUGAGGUGGAGUCUUGCUCUGUCGCCCAGGCUGGAGUGCAGUGGCACGAUCUCGGCUCAUUGCAAGCUCCACCUUCUGGGUUCACACCAUUCUCCUGCCUCAGUCUCCUCAGCAGCUGGGAUUACAGGCGCCCACUACCAUGCCAGGCUAAUUUUUUUUGUAUUUUUUAGUAGAGACGGGGUUUCACUGUUAACCAGGAUGGUCUCGAUCUCCUAACCUCGUGAUCCGCCUGCCUCGGCCUCCCAAAGUGCUGGGAUUACAGGCGUGAGACACCACGCCCGGCCUCUUCUGUGACUUCUUAACCACAAAUAAAGUCUUGGCCUUGGAAAAAGGAAGAUCUGAAACAGAACAAGGCAAUUAAAAAGUGGGUGGAGGAAGUAUAGGAGUAGUGGAGAAAAAAGAAAGGAAUGGAUUUUCUAAAUUUAAAACACUCUUUGCCCUUUCCUGAAAUAAUGACUUAUAUUCUUUGAGUUCACAAGAGAGUAAUUGGAUAUGCAUGAUGCAAUGCUGGAAUUUUAGGUAUUUUGCCUAAAGGUUAUUAACAAUUAGUACCACUAGGGGAAAAAUCAUAAAGUUAGUUAGAAUAACAACCCUCUCUCAAAGGAUAAUGAAAACUGGACUUGUAAUCUGGUCAUAAUAAAAAUAUAUUAUGUUUAUAUUGGAGCCUCACAUGUCAAGAGGAAAACUCACAAACUAGAAUAUGUCCAACAGGUGGCCAUGACUAAAUGAAGACUGAAAAACAAGUUGUAUGAGGACCAAUGAAGGAAUCUUCCUUUGAAGCAGUAAAGACUGCGAAAAAAAACAUGAAAAACUGUCUUUAGAUAAAUCCUUUAACAGGAAUGGUACACAGAACAGGGAGAUGUUAUAAGUGGAGCUACUGAUGACAGCAUUAGAGCCAAAGGGUGAAAGGCAGAUGUUGAGUCAUUCAAUAGAAGAGGUGUCUGAUCUCUUCCUAUCCAAUGUAGCAGAAUCCAUCCCAUACUAUAUCUGAAAGAUGACCACUUUGCUUUGACAUUUGCAGUGGUACAGAACUCACUAUCUCAAGAAUACCUUCCUCGGGAUGGUAAUAAGUAUGAGAAAUGCCCUUUCUAGUUCUAAAUUUCUUCUCCACAAGACAACUCAUUCCAUUUUCAAACAAUUAUUAGAUCUAUCCAUCUCUUAGUCUUCUAUUUGUCAAGCAAACAUCUCCAAUUCCUCACAUCAUUAUUAAUUCAGUAUUGUGAACCUUGUACCAUUUUAGUCACCAGCUUUGUGGAUAAUCUUUGGAUUGUAGUGUCUGUAACUGACAUCCAAAUUAAGUGCUCUUGAUAUGGUCUAACUAGCAACUGACCCCAUCCAUAUUUCUAUUUCCAAAGCAGAGAAACAAGAAAAUCAAUUGGCCAAUAUAACUGAAUAAAUCCAGGUAAAUACAUAUUUGGCUUUCAAUUAGUCAGGAAGUCUGAAUUUCUAGAGGAUAUUGAAGAUACAGCAUCAGACAAUGCAUUUGUCUGAUUGCUGACAACUUUUAAUUUCCCUGUUCAAGAAAAUCGAUCAAUGUGUGUUAGCUAAACACCUGUUAUGUUCAACCCUGUGUUAGUCAUCAUUUGAUGUGUAACAGAAGUGUAAGGCCAGGUACCUACAAUAUUUGUAGAGUCAAUACUAAGGUACAUGAAAUAAUUUUAGAGUUUUUACAAGAUAUACAUCAUUAUGUAUACUUAUAUGAAAUAGUCUCAAGUUCAGCAGGGAAGACUGGGCCCAGGUGGGCUGAGGAAUGCAUGUGAAGAGGUAGGGAGGCAGGAAACUUGAAGGAUGGUUAGGGCUUGUCUAUUUGGAAUGGAGAGAGAGGCCACAAAGGAGUGCGUGUGUAGAAAUAAUGAGUAAUAAAGGAGGUCAAGGUUAGUAGGGACGUGUGUGGUUACAAAUAGAAAUAUUUGGAUUUGUACCAUAACAUUUCUAUUACAACUUCCUUUCUCCCAUUCCAAACAUGCUUGGUUUUACAGAAAAAACUUCCAGGACUCAGAUUUCCAUGGGUAUUAGUUUGCAAACUAAUCCCUGAUGAGAUAUUAUGAGGAGCUAAGAGAGUGAUGCUAGAAUUCUCAAGUGGCAAUGGCAAAUUUCAGGGCUGACUUCCUGGAUAACCAAUUCUUUUUUUUUAUUCUGAGCAUGGGAAUUUCAGUUCAUCCAGCAGAAGAAAUGUUUUUUGAUAGAUGUGACUUUUGGUACAUUUUGAAUUAUGUCAUCUUGGGGACAAAUGGUCCCAAAAGCCAAGGUCCUAAAUGUGUACAUCUGAUCCAACUCUAAGAACUUUUGCUCAGUUGUGACGUCAAAGAAUUUCUAUUUUAGAGUGGUCUUCUGCAACUGAUACCAUCCAUAUUUCUGUCUCCAAAGCAGAGAAACAAGAAAAUCAAUUUGCCAAUAUAACUGAAUAAAUCCAGGUAAAUACAUAUUUGGCUUUCAAUUAGCCAGGGAGUCUGAAUUUCUAGAGAAUAUUGAAGAGACAGCGUCAGACAAUGCAAUUUCCUUUAAUAGGGACCAUAACCUCAGAGUUGCUGCUCUGUUUUUUAAUAUUGUACAAUUAACUUUUUUUUUUUUUGCAGCACACUCUGCUUAUAGCUUCUGUGGAAACUUAAACAUUAUUCAAUAGAAUAAUUUCCUGGAAAAUCUUUUGAAAGUGGUCACAGCCCUGACCUUGCUCUGGUGCCCUGGGUCCACCAGCAUGCUGUUUCAUUACCUCAGGAAGGUUUGGUGCCAAGAGACAGUCCAAGAGUUAGUGCAUAAAGAAAGCUAGGUUCAUAAAAGAAUUAAUAUCUGCCUUCUUUCAAGGAGGGAAACUGCCACUUCCAACCAUUUUAUGCAUCUAUCACUUCUCUUCUAUCUUCAUCAUUCAACCCUUCAACUGGCCUACCUAGAUGACAGGUAAAAAUUAUAGAUUUUUAACUCUUAAGAAAUAACUGCCGAAGUCAUUUCUUCCAAACCAUUCUCAUUACCAAUGGGAAACUCAGGCCCAGAAAGCCUAAAUGACUUUUGCAAGACCACAGAGUAAGUAGCAGAGUCAGGACUUAAACUCCACAUUGCAGAAGAUGAACCAGGGAUGAUAUUUUUAAAACUUAGCAAUGGUAUGACAAAAUCACCAAACAGUUAGAAUAGAGCCUCUGAUUGUACUGGUGUGCCAUUAAAUACCAGCCCCAACUGGAUUACAGUGUAUAUCAGUAAUACUUUAAGGGAUAAAGAGAAAAAAUGUGCCACUUACUAUCAAGCUAUUUAAAGGAGCUAGGUAAUAAAAUAAUCAUAAUUUAUUUUUACUGUUGGUUCUUCCCUUUUUCAUCUUUUUGCCUUUUUUUUCCAUUGUCUUUCUUGUUACUAAUCCUGUGAAAAUUCACCCUCUGUUUGGCAGCCCGGGUCAUUGUUAUUUGUGCUAAGCUCCUAUAUUAUUAGUCUGUUAUCAUAUUGCCAUAAAAAAACUACUUGAAGCCAGGCGAGGUGGCUCAUGUCUGUAAUCCUAGCACUUUGGGAGGCCGAGGCAGGCAGAUCACUUGAGGUCAGGGGUUUGAAACCCGACUGGCCAACAUGGUGGAACCCUGUCUCUACUAAAAGUACAAAAAUUAGCUGGAAAUUGCUUGAACCCAGGAGGUGAAGGUUGCAGUGGGCCGAGAUCGUGCCACUACACUCCAGCCUGGGCAACAGAACAAGAGUCCGUCUCCAAAAAAAAUAAAAACAAACAAACAAACAAACAAACAAAAAAAAACAGCACAACUACUUGAGACUGGGUGAUUUAUACAGAAAAAAACAUUUUAUUGAUUCACAGUUCCAUAGGCUGUAUAGGAAGCAUGGGUGGGGAGGCCUCAGGAAACUUGCAAUCAUGGUGGAAGCCAAAGCAGGCACAUCUUACAUGGCCAGAGGAAGAAGCAAGCAAAGGUGGAGGUGCUACACACUUUUCAACCACCAGAUCUCAUGAGAACUCACGCACUAUCACGAGAACAGCAAGGGGGAAAUUCACCUUCAUGAUCCAGUCACCUCCCACUGGGCCCCUCCUCCAAUUCUGGGGAUUAUAAUUCCACAUGAGAUUUGGGCAGGGACACAAAUCCAAACCAUAUAAGCUCCAUUCUGCAUUCAAGUGUAUGUUGGUCUUGCCAAAAUUAUCAAUACCUUCUCCGUAAAUACCACUUUCAAGCCUUGUAGGUUAAGCCCUGAUUAUGUUUGUAAAAGUAGCUUGAUCUACAUGUCUACAAUUGUUCUCUAAUUUGCUUUAUCCAAAUGGAAAAAAAAACACACAAUAUUUUAGGCCUUGAUUUUCAUCAUGAAUUUUUAAAAAUCUAAAAUUGCCUCUUCAUUGUGUUAUUUCAAAAUCAUGAGAUAUCCUUUCAUUGCUUCUACUGAUAAGGUUGUUUGUAACUCAAAAUCAUAAUUGGUAGAUCAACAGAAUAAAAUUAUGAGAUACAAAUAUACAUUUGAUUAUUAUUGCUACUGGUUAGAGCCUUCACUAUGACAUGCAGUGACAUGCUCACAGAAAUGACAAGCCCUAAAACUUCUUGCUUUUUGGUUAAACACUUUAUGAUUAAACAUUUCAAUCUUUAAACUUUCUAAUAGUAUCUUGAAAUUGUGUAUCUCAUUUUAACAUUUUUAAGCCACUUAGACAAAUGACUUUUUGCCAUGCUUGCUUGACUUUUUUUCUUGCAUGGACUUACAGAUAAAGGUGGUCUCAUCCCUAAUGAACAUAUGAGGCCACAAGAAUUUCUCCUUUUUUUUUUUUUUUUUUUUUGUUGUUGUUGUUGUUUAUUUUUGAUACAGGGUCUUGCUCUGUCACCCAGGCUGGAGUACAGUGGCAGGAACAAAGCUCACUGCAGCCUCAGAGUCCUGGACUCAAACCAUACUCCCACCUCAGCCUCCUGAGUAGCUGAGACCCAGGAGCACUCACCACUUCCAGCUAAUUUUUUGUAGAGACAGGAUCUUAAACUCCUGGGUUCAAGCAGACUGCCCACCUCUGUCUCCCAUGUGCUGUGAUUACAGGAGUGAGCCACCAUGCUUGGACAGUUUCUCCUCUUGAAUCAUCAACAGUCCCUGUAAAGUCUCAAGAAAAGUGUUUGGAGUAUCCAUAAUGUGCUAAGUCACUUAGGAACAAAGUUACACAAAACACAUCCCCAGUUUUUGUCUCUAUGCUUUCAAGAUGGGUGAAACUUUAUGUUUGAAGUUUCAUGUUUUAUGCCAAGCAUGAUGAGAGAUAGAGGAAUGGGAAGACUUGGUCUUACAGGUUAAAGAUGUGAAACAUACAAAACAUGCUCUCAUGAGAUAAUUAGACAAACAAGUCAGUGUGAUUGAGAGCAACAUGCUGGGAACUGGUUUAGAGGCUCCUGGAGGUAAGGACAGAGUCACUGUUACAUGUUUGGGGUAUUUUGCUGAAGCAUCGCAGAGGCAGCAUUGUCCUCGUCAACAGGAGAUGGGGCGGGAGGAAAGGAGAGCAGAGGGCUGCAACCAAAGCAACCCAGGGUCCAGGUGACAGAUCUCCCCUAUUGGUAAAAUGUGAUUCAUGUGGUAGCACCGCACUGGGAGCUUCAGUACCUUUAACUUUCUCUCUCAGGCUUUUACACCUGGUGAACGUCUAGAAUAACUGCCACAGAAAAUACAUCUAUGACAUUUAAUCACUGAGUGUUCGAGAGAAGGCAAAGCCCGGACACCAAGUAAGCCAGGUACCCCUGAGGCAAACUCCAGAGGCUUCCCUGGGCCGUGAAACCAGCCAAAGAAGGCAAAAUUCACCCACCCUCCAAAAGACGUUUGCGUUCCCACGCAUGUUCUCCGCCCUGAGAUAGCUUAGAACACAGCUCUACCAACGACUUUUCAUUUCCAUUAACCUAUUCCUGAUUCUUUGAUUCAAGGAACCUUGCCAUCCUUAGCUCUUUGGAUUAUUUAUGAGGUCUGAUUUAUAAUACAAAAUUAUACAGUGUACCAUAGUUAAAACCUUGAAGGAAAAAAUGCAUUUUGUAUUUCUUCUUCUUGGAGAGGCCCAAACACCCCUCCCCAGGGUUGGAAAGGAGAGUGGAGGUAGGGUAAUGGAACUCCCUCUCAGGCCUCUGAAUAUGGAGAAAUUAAGAAGAAUGGGAUGGGGUUGGGGGACAGAGGUAGUAAGCAAACAAAUGACUUAUUUUUAAUCUAGAGUUACCCAUUUGGAGAGAGAUACAGGGUUAUAUCCUAACGGUACCUUUUUAAAAAAUAAGUCAUAAGUAUGCUCAUGCCCUAACAAGUUAGUGAAUUUUUCCAGUAAAAUUAAAAUUAAAUAGAAAGCCAUGGUAAAUUACCCAUUUCAUUUCUCCUUCUAGAUUUAAAAAAAAAAAAAGAGGCACUUUGUCGCUUCUUACUGUGAGUGCACUUCAGCCUUAAUACAUGCAUUUAUGUCAAGGGGGCCAUUUACACUGUUGUCUGCUGGAGUUUUUCUUCUUUCAACUUAGUAGGGAAUAUUUGUAAUCUUUAUUACCCCAAAUAAAUC